rnacentral:rRNA from 1 species
GACGAACGCUGGCGGCGUGCUUAACACAUGCAAGUCGAACGGAAAGGCCCUGCUUUUGUGGGGUGCUCGAGUGGCGAACGGGUGAGUAACACGUGAGUAACCUGCCCUUGACUUUGGGAUAACUUCAGGAAACUGGGGCUAAUACCGGAUAGGAGCUCCUGCUGCAUGGUGGGGGUUGGAAAGUUUCGGCGGUUGGGGAUGGACUCGCGGCUUAUCAGCUUGUUGGUGGGGUAGUGGCUUACCAAGGCUUUGACGGGUAGCCGGCCGGAGAGGGUGACCGGCCACAUUGGGACUGAGAUACGGCCCAGACUCCUACGGGAGGCAGCAGUGGGGAAUAUUGCACAAUGGGCGGAAGCCUGAUGCAGCAACGCCGCGUGCGGGAUGACGGCCUUCGGGUUGUAACCCGCUUUCGCCUGUGACGAAGCGUGAGUGACGGUAAUGGGUAAAGAAGCACCGGCUAACUACGUG